GACGAACGCUGGCGGCGUGCUUAACACAUGCAAGUCGAACGGAGUGGCGAACGGGUGAGUAUUACGUGAGUAACCUGCCCUCAACUGUGGGAUAAGUCUGGGAAACUGGGUCUAAUACUGCAUAGUUGGGGAUGGGCUCGCGGCCUAUCAGCUUGUUGGUGGUGUGAUGGCCUACCAAGGCGGUGACGGGUAGCCGGCCGGAGAGGGUGGUCGGCCACCUUGAGACUGAGAUACGUCCCAGGUUCCUACGGGAGGCAGAAGUGGGUGAUGGUGCAAAAUGUGGGCAAGCCUGAUGCAGCGACGCCGCGUGAGGGAUGUAGGCUUUCGGGUUGUAAGCCUCUUUCGGUACAGAACGGGUAUGUGCAGAAGAAGCGCCGGCUAACUACGUGCCAGCAGCCGCGGUAAUUC
rnacentral:rRNA from 1 species